rnacentral:rRNA from 1 species
ACGGGAGGCAGCAGUAAGGAAUCUUGCACAAUGGGGGAAACCCUGAUGCAGCAACGCCGCGUGAACGAUGAAGGCCUUAGGGUUGUAAAGUUCUGAUCUGGGGGAAGAAGAAAGUGACGGUACCCCAGGAGAAAGCCCCGGCUAAAUACGUGCCAGCAGCCGCGGUAAUACGUAUGGGGCAAGCGUUAUCCGGAAUUAUUGGGCGUAAAGAGUGCGUAGGUGGUUACCUAAGCGCAAGGUUUAAUCUUGAGGCUCAACCUCAUUCUGCCUUGCGAACUGGGCUACUUGAGUGCUGGAGGGGAAAGCGGAAUUCCCAGUGUAGCGGUGAAAUGCGUAGAUAUUGGGAAGAACACCGGUGGCGAAGGCGGCUUUCUGGACAGUAACUGACACUGAGGCACGAAAGCGUGGGGAGCAAACAGGAUUAGAUACCCUGGUA